UGAGAACCUCCGGGGGCGGGGAGGUUCGACUCGAGCGAAGCGAGAGAACGUUGCGCCAGCAACGGCCCGCAGGGCGAGCCACGAAGUGGCGAGUAAUCCUCUAUCACCGACCA
rnacentral:sRNA from 1 species